ensembl:lncRNA
CAUGGAAGCCACGAGGGUAACAGCACCAGGGACAACCAAUUCAAAUGUUCAGUUACAGUUAGGACAUAAUUCUUUCAAGCAUGUGCAAACCUUUAGGACAUCAUACGUUUGCUGUGGCUCCAGAGUGCUGACAAGGAUCAAUAUCCUUGGCUCAUCCUACCAAAGCACUGAAUUCAAGAGGGCCAAGACAACAAACGCCAUGCCUUUCUCUUAUUUUUGGCUCUGAAUCAGUCUGCCAGCAGAAGAUGUAAUGAAAGGAUCGAUGACUGGUGGUCUUCUGUUAGAUGGAGGUGACAGUGGAGAGGUACACUCAGGGUUCAAGGACUGACCGCACCGUGCCGGGCCUCAGUGCAGCCGUCCCCCCGUACCGGAGU